rnacentral:tmRNA from 1 species
GGGGGCGACCUGGUUUCGACGGGGGUUGCAAAGCGGAUGAGGGCAUACCGGGAUUUCAGUUACCCCGUAAAACGCUGAAUUUAUAUAGUCGCAAACGACGAAACUUACGCUCUGGCCGCUUAAUUGCGGCUAGACUCUACAGCAGCUCGCUGGUGGGCUGUGGGGGCAACCCCGGUAGAGUCAUUUCACACCAGCUCGCAUCGGAUCGGGUCACUUGAUCCGGUGUUAAAUUCAAGGUGACUCGUUACUGCCAAGCCUGUCCGUCGGCGUGUCGGUAAUCAAAUCCAAAUGACACGACUAAGUAUGUAGAUCUCUUCGUAGAGGGCUUCCGGACGCGGGUUCGAUUCCCGCCGCCUCCACCA